rnacentral:lncRNA from 1 species
CAGGUGAAACUCCCAUUGAUUUCAGUGAAUUAAAAUCAAGACAGACUGACAUUUGGCCUCUAUCUAGUUUUUAAAAGCCAGUUGGAGAACAGCACCUGACAUGUGUAAAACAACAAAACAAAACAAAACAAAAAAGGUGUGUAAUACAUAAGUUGAAGAUGGUUUUACUAAUAUUUGAAAAUAAGGUCCAGCAUUUUUCCAAGUAAUAAACAAUUGGGCUACCUGCGUUUGAAGCCUUUAGGACAAUGAAUUUAUCUCUAUUUCCCCAGCUAAAAUGAAAUGACAUCUUAAUCCUGUUGAGAAAAUUAAGUUUAAUCAUUCUAAAUUGCAAUAAUAUUAUUAAAUAACUGUUUAGUAAAGCUGUCACCUGCUGUCUGUGCAAUGACCUAUUUGAAAUGAGCUUGUGAUGGCAGUCCAUUUCCUAGUACGCAGGUGUCUAGAUCUCAAAACCCCUGGCAAGAGAAUUCCUAGCUUAACUAGGCACGGAAAUAGAACUAUCCUCUAAUCUACUGACUCCCAAACUUCAUUGGUUCAUAUAACAUCUUUAAAAAAGAACUUCGUGAAGUGGAUGGAACAUCCAACUCAUGUACACACUGAACUCCUGAUUACCCUUAACCCUAAUUUGCAGUGUUCAGCUCUGAGACACAUUGACAGGGUAACAUAAGAAAGGGUGCACUAUUGUUGGGAGCUGUUCUGUGGACAUAAAGCAUUUCAUUGCCCAGUUCUAUUAGACAUUUCCACAAAUACUAAAUUCACUGUACUUGUUUUAAAAAUUUUAGGGUUAGAUAGGAGAUGAGUGGUGACAUUUUGCAUAUGCACUUCCAAAACAGACACAGGGUCCAAAACAUAGAUAUGGAAAUAAUAAAGGUACUGACCAGCGUUAGUUCUCUUAAGAUAUGUGGCUACUUUUAAAAUCAAAGUAUUUCAGAGUAAGUUGCUUCUACUCCCCUUACUGGUUUUGACUUAAACUUCGUAACUUAUAUGCUGUCUAGUAGGAUGACUUUAAUGGGAACAAUUUUAUUUAUAUUUAGUGGAACAUUUAAACAGUUACUCUAUUAAAAAUUCCUUAUUGCAAUAAAAUGUUAGUGGUCUCAUUGAUUUUUCUCCCU